UUUUGGAUAUGAAUCCACUGAGCCGUCUAUGAGCAAUUUAAGAGUGGAUGCUAUGGCUGAUUCAUCAUUAAAAUCCUAAACUUCUGCCUCCUCUAAGUCAUGAACCUGGAAGCUGUCAGGAACUGUGAAGGCAAUGAGAUUUUACCCUACCUGCAAGCCAACAAGUCAGCCUGCCUGUUUCAUGGAUGCUGACAGGAGGCGUGAGAGACUCCCGAAUCCGAGACAAAGGACUUUAUUAUCACAGCAACAGCAAUAGCCAGACAAUCAAGGUUUUUGCACCAGUGCCCUCAGCCUCAGUUUCCACAGGACCACAUGAAGAGGGCCAGGUAAUACUGUAUAUGCAGUGGGUUGCAUUACAGAACAGCAAUGCUUAGCUUGGGGAACCUGUUGUAAGUAAGCAUACCGAUAUGGUUUGGCUGUGGCCCCACCCAAAUCUCAUCUUGAAUUGUAGCUCCCAUAAUUCCCAUGUGUUUUGGGAGGGACCCAGUGGGAGAUAAUUGAAUCAUGGGGAUGGUUUCCCCUCAUAUUUUUCUUGUGGUAGUGGAUAAGUCUCAUGAAAUCCGACGUUUCCCCUUUUGCUUGGCUCUCAUUCUCUCUCUUGUCUGCUUCCAUGUAAAACGUGCCUUUUGCCUUCUGCCAUGAUUGUGAGGCUGCCCCAGCCACGUGGAACUGUGGAUCCAUUAAACCUUCUUUUCUUUAUAAAUUAUCCGGUCUCAGGUAUGUCUUCAUCAGCAGUGCGAAAGUACACUAAUACACAUGCCCACCUUUGUUCCAAUGGGAGACACUCUCUCUGUCUCCCAAGAAUGUUUGUUAUGCAAAGAUAACACAGAACAAAAGGCAGACAGUGCCUCUGCUUGCAAGACAUGCAGAAAUGAGAGAGGGCCAUGGGGAAUUGUCCUCUAACAAAACCUGUGUCCCCUAACAGAAGCUGAGUGU
rnacentral:lncRNA from 10 species